GACGAACGCUGGCGGCGUGCCUAAUACAUGCCAGUAGAACGCUGAAGGAGGAGCUUGCUCUUCUGGAUGAGUUGCGAACGGGUGAGUAACGCGUAGGUAACCUGCCUGGUAGCGGGGGAUAACUAUUGGAAACGAUAGCUAAUACCGCAUAACAGUAGAUGUUGCAUGACAUUUACUUAAAAGGUGCAAUUGCAUCACUACCAGAUGGACCUGCGUUGUAUUAGCUAGUUGGUGGGGUAACGGCUCACCAAGGCGACGAUACAUAGCCGACCUGAGAGGGUGAUCGGCCACACUGGGACUGAGACACGGCCCAGACUCCUACGGGAGGCAGCAGUAGGGAAUCUUCGGCAAUGGACGGAGGUCUGACCGAGCAACGCCGCGUGAGUGAAGAAGGGUUUCGGAUCGUAAAGCUCUGUUGUAAGAGAAGAACGAGUGUGAGAGUGGAAAGUUCACACUGUGACGGUAUCUUACCAGAAAGGGACGGCUAACUACGUG
rnacentral:rRNA from 1 species